CCUACGGGUGGCAGCAGUAGGGAAUAUUGCUCAAUGGGGGAAACCCUGACGCAGCAACGCCGCGUGGAGGAUGAAGGUUUUAGGAUUGUAAACUCCUUUUGUUAGAGAAGAUUAUGAGGGUGUCUAACGCAUAAGCACCAGCUAAAUCCGCGCCAGAAGCCGCGGUAAUACGGAGGGUGCAAGCGUUAUUCGGAUUCACUGGGCGUAAAGAGUGCGUAGGCGGGGUAAUAAGUCAGAUGUGAAAUCCUGUAGCUUGACUACCGAACUGCAUUUGAAACUGUUACUCUUGAGUGUGGGAGAGGUAGGUGGAAUUCUUUGUGUAGGGGUAAAAUCCGUAGAGAUCAAGAGGAAUACUCGUUGCGAAGGCGACCUGCUGGACCAUUACUGACGCUGAGGCACGAAAGCGUGGGGAGCAAACAGGAUUAGAUACCCUUGUAGUC
rnacentral:rRNA from 1 species